AUUGAACGCUGGCGGCAGGCCUAACACAUGCAAGUCGAGCGGGGUUUUCGGACCUAGCGGCGGACGGGUGAGUAAUGCGUAGGAAGCUACCCGACAGAGGGGGAUACCAGUUGGAAACGACUGUUAAUACCGCAUAAUGUCUACGGACCAAAGUGUGGGACCUUCGGGCCACAUGCUGUCGGAUGCGCCUACGUGGGAUUAGCUAGUUGGUGAGGUAAUGGCUCACCAAGGCGACGAUCCCUAGCUGGUUUGAGAGGAUGAUCAGCCACACUGGAACUGAGACACGGUCCAGACUCCUACGGGAGGCAGCAGUGGGGAAUAUUGGACAAUGGGCGCAAGCCUGAUCCAGCCAUGCCGCGUGUGUGAAGAAGGCCUCGG
rnacentral:rRNA from 1 species